UGCUGGCGACAAUAGCAAGAGUGAACCACCUGAUCCCUUCCCGAACUCAGAAGUGAAACCUCUUAGCGCUGAUGGUAGUGUGGCACUUGCCAUGUGAGAGUAAGUCAUCGCCAGCUU
rnacentral:rRNA from 1 species